GUACUGCUGAAGCGUCCCAAACUAGGACGAAACAGCUGUCCAGUAC
rfam:Trichobilharzia regenti genome assembly, scaffold: TRE_scaffold0032524